GUAAUCAGAGAAUUUUAUUCCUUAAAAGAGAGUACACAAGGGGUAUACAAUCACUUUAAGCAUGAAAGGAACAACAAGAAAUUAGUCAACCCUACAACAGGAUUUUUAGCCACUACAUUAAACCAAAUAUACAAAGUCAAUUAAAAUAAUUCUCUUAUCUGUUCUGUUGUCUUUGUUUGGUCUUCGAAACAUCGAUUGUUCCGUUAUCUCCAUAUGCACCAUACAAUGCAUCCCGAGAUAAGAUUCCAUAGAAGUUUGCUAUCCUUAUCGCGAAA
rnacentral:lncRNA from 1 species